UGAAUGACUAGAGCUUCAUUUGUGUGGCAGA
rnacentral:piRNA from 1 species